GGGUGAGACUAAGCCAUGCGAGUCGAAUGGAACGCCCUGCAUUCCAUGGCGGACUGCUCAGUAACAAGUGAUCAACUUACCCUUCAGAAGUGCAUAACCUCGGGAAACUGAGGAUAAUACACUAUAUUUGGAAAAGUCUGGAACGAUUUUCCAUUCAAAUGAGUCUUCCAAUUGGGGAAAAUUUCGCUGAAGGAUGAUCGCUCCCGAUUAUGGUCGAUGGUGAGGUAAUGGCUCACCAUGCCUAUGAUCGGUAAGGGCCGUGAGAGCGGAAGCCCUGAGAUGGGUACUGAGACAAGGACCCAGGUCUUACGAGACGCAUCAGGCGCGAAACCUUUACAAUGCGCGAAAGCGUGAUAAGGUUACCCGGAGUGCUAGAGGGCGAAAUCCUCUAGCUGUUGUAGGGUGUAGAUAUCCCUACGAGAAAGGAGAGGGCAAGGCUGGUGCCAGCCGCCGCGGUAAAACCAGCUCUUCAAGUGGUCGGGCCAAUUAUUGGGCUUAAAGUGUCCGUAGCUGGUUUAGUAAGUUCCUGGUUAAAUUUGGCAGCUUAACUGUCAUAUUGCUAGGAAUACUGCUUUACUAGGAGGCGGGAAAGGUCUGGGGUACUCCAGGGGUAGCGGUGAAAUGCGAUAAUCCUUGGGGGACCACCAGUGGCGAAAGCGUCAGACUGGAAAGCGCUCGACGGUGAGGGACGAAAGCCAGGGGAGCGAACGGGAUUAGAUACCCCGGUAGUCCUGGCUGUAAACGAUGCGUGUUAGGUGUUGGUAGGGCUAUGAGCUGUAUCAGUGCCGUAGGGAAACUGUUAAACACGCCGCCUGGGAAGUACGCUCGCAAGAGUGAAACUUAAAGGAAUUGGCGGGGGAGCACCACAAGGGGUGAAGCCUGCGGUUCAAUUGGACCCAACGCCGGGAAACUUACCGGGGGCGACAGCAGAAUGAAGGUCAGGCUGACGACCUUACCAAACAAGCUGAGCGGAGGUGCAUGGCCGUCGCCAGUUCGUGCCGUGAGGUAUCCUGUUAAGUCAGGCAACGAACGAGACCCACACACUUAGUUGCCAUCAAGAGCCUACGGGUUUGUUGGGAACACUAAGUGGACUGCCAUCGUACAGAUGGAGGAAGGGGUGGGCCACGGCAGGUCAGUAUGCCCCUAAUCCCCCGGGCCACACGCGGGCUGCAAUGGUAUGGACAAUGGGUUGCGACUCCGAGAGGAGAAGCCAAUCCCCAAACCAUAUCUCAGUUGGGAUUGCCGGCUGUAACCCGCCGACAUGAACGUGGAAUCCCUAGUAAUCGUGUGUCAUCAUCGCACGGUGAAUACGUCUCUGCUCCUUGCACACACCGCCCGUCGCUCCACCCGAGUGUUGUACAAUUGAAAGAUGGUCCUUUGGGUCACUUUGAAAUUGUAUAACGCAAGGGGGAGGAGUCGUAACAAGGU
rnacentral:rRNA from 1 species